UGGGGAAUCUUCCGCAAUGGACGAAAGUCUGACGGAGCAACGCCGCGUGAGUGAAGACGGCCUUCGGGUUGUAAAGCUCUGUGAUCCGGGACGAAAGAGCCUGAGGUAAAUAGCCUAAGGAAGUGACGGUACCGGAAAAGCAAGCCACGGCUAACUACGUGCCAGCAGCCGCGGUAAUACGUAGGUGGCAAGCGUUGUCCGGAAUUAUUGGGCGUAAAGCGCGCGCAGGCGGCUUACUAAGUCCAUCUUAAAAGUGCGGGGCUUAACCCCGUGAUGGGAUGGAAACUGGAAAGCUGGAGUAUCGGAGAGGAAAGUGGAAUUCCUAGUGUAGCGGUGAAAUGCGUAGAGAUUAGGAAGAACACCGGUGGCGAAGGCGACUUUCUGGACGAAAACCGACGCUGAGGCGCGAAAGCGUGGGGAGCAAACAGG
rnacentral:rRNA from 1 species